rnacentral:rRNA from 1 species
AUUGAACGCUGGCGGCAUGCUUUACACAUGCAAGUCGAACGGCAGCGCGGGCUUCGGCCUGGCGGCGAGUGGCGAACGGGUGAGUAAUGCAUCGGAACGUGCCCAGUAGUGGGGGAUAGUCCGGCGAAAGCCGGAUUAAUACCGCAUACGACCUGAGGGUGAAAGCGGGGGACCGAAAGGCCUCGCGCUAUUGGAGCGGCCGAUGUCGGAUUAGCUAGUUGGUGGGGUAAAGGCUUACCAAGGCGACGAUCCGUAGCUGGUCUGAGAGGACGACCAGCCACACUGGGACUGAGACACGGCCCAGACUCCUACGGGAGGCAGCAGUGGGGAAUUUUGGACAAUGGGGGCAACCCUGAUCCAGCCAUGCCGCGUGCGGGAAGAAGGCCUUCGGGUUGUAAACCGCUUUUGUUCGGGAAGAAAUCCUCUGGGCUAAUACCCCGGGGGGAUGACGGUACCGGAAGAAUAAGCACCGGCUAGCUACGUG